rnacentral:rRNA from 1 species
AAAUGAAUUGACGGGGACCCGCACAAGCAGCGGAGCAUGUGGUUUAAUUCGAAGCAACGCGAAAAACCUUACCAAGACUUGACAUCGUAUGACCGCUAUAGAAAUAUGGUUUUCCCUUCGGGGACAUAUAGACAGGUGGUGCAUGGUUGUCGUCAGCUCGUGUCGUGAGAUGUUGGGUUAAGUCCCGCAACGAGCGCAACCCUUAUCCUUGGUUGCCAAUAUUAAGUUAGGAACUCCAGGGAGACUGCCGUGGCUAACACGGAGGAAGGUGGGGAUGACGUCAAAUCAUCAUGCCCCUUACGUCUUGGGCUACACACGUGCUACAAUGGCCAUUACAAAGAGCAGCAAGACAGCAAUGUUAAGCAAAUCUCAAAAAGAUGGCCUCAGUUCGGAUUGUGGGCUGCAACUCGCCCACAUGAAGCAGGAGUUGCUAGUAAUCCCGAAUCAGAAUGUCGGGGUGAAUGCGUUCCCGGGUCUUGUACACACCGCCCGU